CCAAGGUCCUUUCCUCUCCAGAU
rnacentral:miRNA from 1 species